UGGCCAAGUCGAAACUGAACAUCCUGCAGC
rnacentral:piRNA from 1 species